ensembl:lncRNA
GUGCCUGAGGAACCCCUAAUGGGGAGGGGAGGAGUGGUUGGCUGUCGGCUCCAUUCAAUGGGCUUAUUAUUGCCCCUAGAUCCUCAGGCUUGGAGACUAAGGAAGACCCUAGUGAGCACAGUACGCGUGCUGACUGAUAGUUCAUUCACACUUUCGUUUCCUAGGUGCCACAGCGUGCGUUGCUGAUGAACAGGGGCAUCUGAAAGUCUGUUGGUAGUCUAUGACCUCUGACAGCUGCAGAUACAAUGAUGCAGAUGCACCUAUGAACUCACAGCGACUUUGACAGCAUGCAAAACACCCGAGCAAGCUCAAGCCAGACAACCCCAGCACAGAAUGGAGGAGGUUUGGGAGACACACCCACCCCUCUGA